AUUGAACGCUGGCGGCAGGCUUAACACAUGCAAGUCGAGCGGAGCGAGGGUGCUUGCACCUUAGCUUAGCGGCGGACGGGUGAGUAAUGCUUAGGAAUCUGCCUAUUAGUGGGGGACAACAUUCCGAAAGGGAUGCUAAUACCGCAUACGCCCUACGGGGGAAAGCAGGGGAUCUUCGGACCUUGCGCUAAUAGAUGAGCCUAAGUCGGAUUAGCUAGUUGGUGGGGUAAAGGCCUACCAAGGCGACGAUCUGUAGCGGGUCUGAGAGGAUGAUCCGCCACACUGGGACUGAGACACGGCCCAGACUCCUACGGGAGGCAGCAGUGGGGAAUAUUGGACAAUGGGGGGAACCCUGAUCCAGCCAUGCCGCGUGUGUGAAGUAGGCCUUUUGGUUGUAAAGCACUUUAAGCGAGGAGGAGGCGCUCUAGGUUAAUACCCUAGAUGCGUGGACGUUACUCGCAGAAUAAGCACCGGCUAACUCUGUGCCAGCAGCCGCCGUAACAC
rnacentral:rRNA from 1 species